rnacentral:rRNA from 1 species
GGUUAAGCGACUAAGCGUACACGGUGGAUGCCCUGGCAGUCAGAGGCGAUGAAGGACGUGCUAAUCUGCGAUAAGCGUCGGUAAGGUGGUAUGAACCGUUAUAACCGGCGAUUUCCGAAUGGGGAAACCCAGUGUGUUUCGACACACUAUCAUUAACUGAAUCCAUAGGUUAAUGAGGCGAACCGGGGGAACUGAAACAUCUAAGUACCCCGAGGAAAAGAAAUCAACCGAGAUUCCCCCAGUAGCGGCGAGCGAACGGGGAGCAGCCCAGAGCCUGAAUCAGUGUGUGUGUUAGUGGAAGCGUCUGGAAAGGCGCGCGAUACAGGGUGACAGCCCCGUACACAAAAAUGCACAUGCUGUGAGCUCGAUGAGUAGGGCGGGACACGUGGUAUCCUGUCUGAAUAUGGGGGGACCAUCCUCCAAGGCUAAAUACUCCUGACUGACCGAUAGUGAACCAGUACCGUGAGGGAAAGGCGAAAAGAACCCCGGCGAGGGGAGUGAAAAAGAACCUGAAACCGUGUACGUACAAGCAGUGGGAGCACGCUUAGGCGUGUGACUGCGUACCUUUUGUAUAAUGGGUCAGCGACUUAUAUUCUGUAGCAAGGUUAACCGAAUAGGGGAGCCGAAGGGAAACCGAGUCUUAACUGGGCGUUAAGUUGCAGGGUAUAGACCCGAAACCCGGUGAUCUAGCCAUGGGCAGGUUGAAGGUUGGGUAACACUAACUGGAGGACCGAACCGACUAAUGUUGAAAAAUUAGCGGAUGACUUGUGGCUGGGGGUGAAAGGCCAAUCAAACCGGGAGAUAGCUGGUUCUCCCCGAAAGCUAUUUAGGUAGCGCCUCGUGAAUUCAUCUCCGGGGGUAGAGCACUGUUUCGGCAAGGGGGUCAUCCCGACUUACCAACCCGAUGCAAACUGCGAAUACCGGAGAAUGUUAUCACGGGAGACACACGGCGGGUGCUAACGUCCGUCGUGAAGAGGGAAACAACCCAGACCGCCAGCUAAGGUCCCAAAGUCAUGGUUAAGUGGGAAACGAUGUGGGAAGGCCCAGACAGCCAGGAUGUUGGCUUAGAAGCAGUCAUCAUUUAAAGAAAGCGUAAUAGCUCACUGGUCGAGUCGGCCUGCGCGGAAGAUGUAACGGGGCUAAACCAUGCACCGAAGCUGCGGCAGCGACGCUUAUGCGUUGUUGGGUAGGGGAGCGUUCUGUAAGCCUGCGAAGGUGUGCUGUGAGGCAUGCUGGAGGUAUCAGAAGUGCGAAUGCUGACAUAAGUAACGAUAAAGCGGGUGAAAAGCCCGCUCGCCGGAAGACCAAGGGUUCCUGUCCAACGUUAAUCGGGGCAGGGUGAGUCGACCCCUAAGGCGAGGCCGAAAGGCGUAGUCGAUGGGAAACAGGUUAAUAUUCCUGUACUUGGUGUUACUGCGAAGGGGGGACGGAGAAGGCUAUGUUGGCCGGGCGACGGUUGUCCCGGUUUAAGCGUGUAGGCUGGUUUUCCAGGCAAAUCCGGAAAAUCAAGGCUGAGGCGUGAUGACGAGGCACUACGGUGCUGAAGCAACAAAUGCCCUGCUUCCAGGAAAAGCCUCUAAGCAUCAGGUAACAUCAAAUCGUACCCCAAACCGACACAGGUGGUCAGGUAGAGAAUACCAAGGCGCUUGAGAGAACUCGGGUGAAGGAACUAGGCAAAAUGGUGCCGUAACUUCGGGAGAAGGCACGCUGAUAUGUAGGUGAAGUCCCUCGCGGAUGGAGCUGAAAUCAGUCGAAGAUACCAGCUGGCUGCAACUGUUUAUUAAAAACACAGCACUGUGCAAACACGAAAGUGGACGUAUACGGUGUGACGCCUGCCCGGUGCCGGAAGGUUAAUUGAUGGGGUCAGCGCAAGCGAAGCUCUUGAUCGAAGCCCCGGUAAACGGCGGCCGUAACUAUAACGGUCCUAAGGUAGCGAAAUUCCUUGUCGGGUAAGUUCCGACCUGCACGAAUGGCGUAAUGAUGGCCAGGCUGUCUCCACCCGAGACUCAGUGAAAUUGAACUCGCUGUGAAGAUGCAGUGUACCCGCGGCAAGACGGAAAGACCCCGUGAACCUUUACUAUAGCUUGACACUGAACAUUGAGCCUUGAUGUGUAGGAUAGGUGGGAGGCUUUGAAGUGUGGACGCCAGUCUGCAUGGAGCCGACCUUGAAAUACCACCCUUUAAUGUUUGAUGUUCUAACGUUGACCCGUAAUCCGGGUUGCGGACAGUGUCUGGUGGGUAGUUUGACUGGGGCGGUCUCCUCCUAAAGAGUAACGGAGGAGCACGAAGGUUGGCUAAUCCUGGUCGGACAUCAGGAGGUUAGUGCAAUGGCAUAAGCCAGCUUGACUGCGAGCGUGACGGCGCGAGCAGGUGCGAAAGCAGGUCAUAGUGAUCCGGUGGUUCUGAAUGGAAGGGCCAUCGCUCAACGGAUAAAAGGUACUCCGGGGAUAACAGGCUGAUACCGCCCAAGAGUUCAUAUCGACGGCGGUGUUUGGCACCUCGAUGUCGGCUCAUCACAUCCUGGGGCUGAAGUAGGUCCCAAGGGUAUGGCUGUUCGCCAUUUAAAGUGGUACGCGAGCUGGGUUUAGAACGUCGUGAGACAGUUCGGUCCCUAUCUGCCGUGGGCGCUGGAGAACUGAGGGGGGCUGCUCCUAGUACGAGAGGACCGGAGUGGACGCAUCACUGGUGUUCGGGUUGUCAUGCCAAUGGCACUGCCCGGUAGCUAAAUGCGGAAGAGAUAAGUGCUGAAAGCAUCUAAGCACGAAACUUGCCCCGAGAUGAGUUCUCCCUGACUCCUUGAGAGUCCUGAAGGAACGUUGAAGACGACGACGUUGAUAGGCCGGGUGUGUAAGCGCAGCGAUGCGUUGAGCUAACCGGUACUAAUGAACCGUGAGGCUUAACCUU